UGGGGAAUAUUGCACAAUGGGCGCAAGCCUGAUGCAGCCAUGCCGCGUGUAUGAAGAAGGCCUUCGGGUUGUAAAGUACUUUCAGUCGGGAGGAAGGUGUCAAGGUUAAUAACCUUGGCAAUUGACGUUACCGACAGAAGAAGCACCGGCUAACUCCGUGCCAGCAGCCGCGGUAAUACGGAGGGUGCAAGCGUUAAUCGGAAUUACUGGGCGUAAAGCGCACGCAGGCGGUUGAUUGAGUCAGAUGUGAAAUCCCCGGGCUUAACCCGGGAAUUGCAUCUGAUACUGGUCAGCUAGAGUCUUGUAGAGGGGGGUAGAAUUCCAUGUGUAGCGGUGAAAUGCGUAGAGAUGUGGAGGAAUACCGGUGGCGAAGGCGGACCCCUGGACAAAGACUGACGCUCAGGUGCGAAAGCGUGGGGAGCAAACAGG
rnacentral:rRNA from 1 species